CUAGAAAGUGAUAUAUUAACAUUUUCUAUUAACAAGUUUUUUAUCUCAUAAAAGAUAUUCUUUGGCUUUCGAAGAGAGAAGCCAAAAUAAAUAUCACAUAGGCAUUUCAGAUAUCCCUUCCUUUAAAUGUUUAUAGUGAUACAUAAAAUAGAAAUUGCAAAUAUUUGAUAUUUUAAUAUUAUUUUUGCUUUACAAUAGCAUUUUUAGUGCUCCAUUUUAAUUUAUUUUAUCUCUCCAGGUUAAUAAUCUAUCAUAAUGUCCAAAUUACACAGUAUUGUAUUGGUCAGCUUUAAGUGCCCAGAUCAAUGACACUGAACCUGGCAAAUGCAAUGCACAUGCACAACGCCUAGCUUCUAACAUCAUGGCUGUUGAAACUGUCUCCUCUCCAAAGCAUUUUCCCAGCCCCAUCUCUGCCAUUUGGGUCUCAUCUGAUAAGGUUUAACCAUGAGUUGUUAUACUCCAUGCAUGGCCUCUGCAUUUGUGUGUAUUGUGAUUCUUACGUCAAAUGGUAAAGAAUAACAUUAGAUUAUUCGCUUUUAUUUUGACAGAGUUCAAAUAGCAAAAUAAAUUAGAUAUACUGUCACAGCUUAAGAAAUUUAAAAUGAAAUAUGUUGUAGUCAGGUGGAAGUUUCUGCCGGGGAAAUAUUAACACCUAAUUUCCCAGAAUACUUAUUUCAUGCAUUGCAAAUAUCUAUCUCCUGUCAUGACACUGAGAUGAAAAGGAUCGGUUAAAAGUUUGCUAACUGAACUAUUUCCCACAGUGUAAAUAACUAAGUGUUGGUAUAGACUAGUAUGGAAACAUACUAAUUACACUGGGUGUAAGCUAUGUGAGUUGCCUUAUCUUUUCACAUAACAUUUAUAUGUAUUGCAUUUCCCAUAUCGUUUCCUUUUGUUUUGCUGAUAACAACUAAUGAGGAAAAGAAAGGAAGCAUUAAAAAAAAAGAAAAAAAAAGUCUUCCAACAAAACUGCUAGAGAGAGAAAGCCAACUAUUAUAAAAUAUAAGCACAAUUCUAUUGAAAUAUCAGCUCCAGAUUCAAGUAAUUUUGGGCAUGUGUAUUAUGUGCCAGGAGAUUUCACUUACAUAUGUUAUGGAACGCAGUGAUUUAAAAAACAAAACAAAAAACAGGUAAUACACUUCAGAAAUUUCAAGGUUAGAAAAUUGGAAAAGUUAACCCCUUGAAAAAUUUCAAUUUGAAACAAGAGAAAUCAAGAGCUGGUUAUUAGCAGUGACCACACUGGUAUAUGUGAAAAUCUGUGGCAAGUAAUGGUGUGCUCAGAAGUAAUUCUCUUCUCCUGUGUAUAGAUCUUGCUAAUCACGUAGAAAACUCUACUUCAUUGUCUGAUUUCAACUGAAAGCAGGCAGAGAUUGAAAAACCCAGAGAUUUCACAGGUUUUAUAAUCCUUGUGAUGCUCUUCCUGUUUCAGACACAGGUCUGAAACAAAGACAGCACAUACCCACACGCACAGACGCAUGCACACAUGCAAACAUUGUGGCUGUUGGUGACUCUAACCCUUCCAGGACAGAGCUGCAUGAUCAGCCAGUUCCCAAAACAAAGGGCGAGAGAUGCAUCUCUCACACAAUAUGCAAACCUACAAUUGUUCACCUUCUGCUGACAAUCUGAUACAAAGCUACAAAUCAAGCAUUAGAAAAACACAAGUGUGACAGGGAAAAAACAGUGGUGGAAGUGGUGCCUAGUAACCUUAAUUUUAAAGAAAAAAAAACAGGUGAAUGUAGGUGACACAGUUAGAUUUUAGACAUCUAUAUAAUCAAUUCACAGAGUAUAGAUGGAAAAGUGAAAAUGACAUUUCUAGCACAAUGAGAUAAAUGCAAUCCCACAGUUACCACUGAGAGUCAGUAGAAUGGCACUCUUUUCUAGAAUAGAGCCAUGGAAGAACAUUCUUGUCUUUAGAAUACAUAUAAUACAGCAUAAGCGUUAGAAGAAUUGCA
rnacentral:lncRNA from 10 species